AAUAGAUACCCGGGUAGUCCAUGCCGUAAACGUUGGGCACUAGGUGUGGGGCUCAUUCCACGAGUUCCGUGCCGCAGCAAACGCAUUAAGUGCCCCGCCUGGGGAGUACGGCCGCAAGGCUAAAACUCAAAGGAAUUGACGGGGGCCCGCACAAGCGGCGGAGCAUGCGGAUUAAUUCGAUGCAACGCGAAGAACCUUACCAAGGCUUGACAUGCACGGGAAGCCACCAGAGAUGGUGGUCUCUUUGGACACUCGUGCACAGGUGGUGCAUGGUUGUCGUCAGCUCGUGUCGUGAGAUGUUGGGUUAAGUCCCGCAACGAGCGCAACCCUCGUCCCAUGUUGCCAGCGGGUUAUGCCGGGGACUCAUGGGAGACUGCCGGGGUCAACUCGGAGGAAGGUGGGGAGUGACGUCAAAUCAUCAUGCCCCUUAUGUCUUGGGCUUCACGCAUGCUACAAUGGCCGGUACAAAGGGCUGCGAUGCCGUAAGGUGGAGCGAAUCCCAAAAAGCCGGUCUCAGUUCGGAUUGGGGU
rnacentral:rRNA from 1 species